UGUAUGUAUACUAGUGUUAAAAUUACGGC
rnacentral:sRNA from 1 species